GGGCGUGUGGUCUAGUGGUAUGAUUCUCGCUUUGGGUUUAGGCCUCUAAAAGCACCAACACAACUUGGUACUUCUAGAGAUCCAAAAUACAAGCAUGCGAGAGGCCCUGGGUUCAAUUCCCAGCUCGCCCC
rnacentral:tRNA from 2 species